AGGAGCCCACAGAAAACCCACUCUCUCAGCCCUGCCGAGCCCUGUGGUGACCUCAGGAGAGAACGUGACCAUCCAGUGUAGCUCAAGGGUGGGAUUUCACAGGUUCAUUUUGAUUGAGGAAGGAGAAAACAAGCUCUCCUGGAUGCUGGACUCACAGGAACUCUCCAAGGGGCUGUCCCUUGUCCCUGGCCCUGUUCCCUGUGGGCCGUGUGGCUGCCAGUCACCGGUGGAUGUUCAGAUGCUAUGGGCAUUACACGAACUUCCCCUGGGUGUGGUCGGAACCCAGUGAUACCAUGGAGAUCCUGGUCUUAGGCGUGUCUAGGAAGCCCUCCCUCCUGACCCUGCAGGGCCCUGUCGUGGCCCCUGGGGAGAAUCUGACCCUCCAGUGUGGCUCUGAUGUCGGCUAUGACAAAUUCACUCUGUACAAGGAGGGGGGACAUGACCUCGUCCAGGGCUCUGGCCGGCAGCCCCAGGCUGGGCUCUCCCAGGCCAACUUCACCCUGGGCCCUGUGAGGGUCUCCCACGGGGGCCAGUACAGAUGCUACGGUGCACACAACCUCUCCUCCGAGUGGUCGGCCCCCAGUGACCCCCUGAGCAUCCUGAUCGCAGGACAGAUCCGUGGCAGACCCUCCCUCUCGGUGCAGCCGGGCCCCACGGUGGCCUCAGGAGAGAACGUGACCCUGCUGUGUCAGUCACGGGAGCAGUUGGACACUUUCCUUCUGACCAAGGAGGGGGCAGCCCAUCACCCACUGCGUCUGAGAUCAGAGCACCAAGCUCAGCAGCACCAGGCUGAAUUCCCCAUGAGUCCUGUGACCUCAGCCCACGCGGGGACCUACAGGUGCUACAGCUCACGCAGAUUCUUCCCCUACCUGCUGUCUCACCCCAGUGACCCCCUGGAGCUCGUGGUCUCAGGAGCAGCUGAGACCCUCAGCCCAUCGCAAAACAAGACAGACUCCAAGACUGCCUCACACCCCCAGGAUUACACAGUGGAGAAUCUCAUCCGCGUGGCUGUGGCUGGCUUGGUCCUGGUGGUCCUCGGGAUUCUGCUGCUUUAGGAUUGGCACAGCUAGAGAAGUCCCCAAGAUGCAGCAAGGAGGUAAAUACAUGAGAAAACAAUGCACCCUUCAGAGUGCCAGAGCCUUGGCAAUGAAUCUGAUAGUCCUAGGAGGUUCUGGAAGAAAGUCUGGACCAUCAUUCGGGAAACCGUCUACUGAGAAAGUCGAGAAGGGGAGGCUUGGGUCAGGUUCAGGAAGAUGUCUGGGUGCCUGUAGAGAACGCUUCCUCCAUUAAACUUCCAUUAAAUGGCAGUGCUUUCAGUCC